GGGUCUAAUACCGAAUAUGAUCACGGGCUUCAUGGUCUGUGGUGGAAAGCUUUUGCGGUGUGGGAUGGGCCCGCGGCCUAUCAGCUUGUUGGUGGGGUAAUGGCCUACCAAGGCGACGACGGGUAGCCGGCCUGAGAGGGUGUCCGGCCACACUGGGACUGAGAUACGGCCCAGACUCCUACGGGAGGCAGCAGUGGGGAAUAUUGCACAAUGGGCGCAAGCCUGAUGCAGCGACGCCGCGUGAGGGAUGACGGCCUUCGGGUUGUAAACCUCUUUCAGCAGGGACGAAGCGCAAGUGACGGUACCUGUAGAAGAAGCACCGGCCAACUACGUGCCAGCAGCCGCGGUAAUACGUAGGGUGCGAGCGUUGUCCGGAAUUACUGGGCGUAAAGAGCUCGUAGGUGGUUUGUCGCGUUGUUCGUGAAAACUCACAGCUUAACUGUGGGCGUGCGGGCGAUACGGGCAGACUGGAGUACUGCAGGGGAGACUGGAAUUCCUGGUGUAGCGGUGGAAUGCGCAGAUAUCANGAGGAACACCGGUGGCGAAGGCGGGUCUCUGGGCAGUAACUGACGCUGAGGAGCGAAAGCGUGGGGAGCGAACAGGAUUAGAUACCCUGGUAGUCCACGCCGUAAACGGUGGGUACUAGGUGUGGGUUUCCUUCCUUGGGAUCCGUG
rnacentral:rRNA from 1 species